GGGCACAUAGCUCAGCUGGGAGAGCACCUGCCUUACAAGCAGGGGGUCACAGGUUCGAGCCCUGUUGCGCCCA
rnacentral:tRNA from 1 species